rnacentral:rRNA from 1 species
GAUUUAAUUUAAUUCUAGUGGCGGACGGGUGAGUAACGCGUGGGUAACCUGCCUUAUACAGGGGGAUAACAGUCAGAAAUGGCUGCUAAUACCGCAUAAGCGCACAGAGCUGCAUGGCUCAGUGUGAAAAACUCCGGUGGUAUAAGAUGGACCCGCGUUGGAUUAGCUUGUUGGUGGGGUAACGGCCCACCAAGGCGACGAUCCAUAGCCGGCCUGAGAGGGUGAACGGCCACAUUGGGACUGAGACACGGCCCAGACUCCUACGGGAGGCAGCAGUGGGGAAUAUUGCACAAUGGGGGGAACCCUGAUGCAGCGACGCCGCGUGAAGGAAGAAGUAUCUCGGUAUGUAAACUUCUAUCAGCAGGGAAGAUAGUGACGGUACCUGACUAAGAAGCCCCGGCUAACUACGUGCCAGCAGCCGCGGUAAUACGUAGGGGGCAAGCGUUAUCCGGAUUUACUGGGUGUAAAGGGAGCGUAGACGGUGUGGCAAGUCUGAUGUGAAAGGCAUGGGCUCAACCUGUGGACUGCAUUGGAAACUGUCAUACUUGAGUGCCGGAGGGGUAAGCGGAAUUCCUAGUGUAGCGGUGAAAUGCGUAGAUAUUAGGAGGAACAC